rnacentral:miRNA from 1 species
AGUAUAGGUGUCGGCUCUAUU